rnacentral:miRNA from 1 species
GACCAGUGAGAUAGUCCUCUA